GAUGAACGCUGACAGAAUGCUUAACACAUGCAAGUCUACUUGAUCCUUCGGGUGAUGGUGGCGGACGGGUGAGUAACGCGUAAAGAACUUGCCCUGCAGUCUGGGACAACCUUUGGAAACGAAUGCUAAUACCGGAUAUUAUGUGAGUUUCGCAUGAAAUUCACAUGAAAGCUAUUUGCGCUUCUGGAGAGCUUUGCGUCCUAUUAGCUGGUUGGUGAGGUAACGGCUCACCAAGGCGAUGAUAGGUAGCCGGCCUGAGAGGGUGAACGGCCACAAGGGGACUGAGACACGGCCCUGACUCCUACGGGAGGCAGCAGUGUGGAAUAUUGGACAAUGGACCAAAAGUCUGAUCCAGCAAUUCUGUGUGCACGAUGAAGUUUUUCGGAAUGUAAAGUGCUUUCAGUUGGGACGAAGUAAGUGACGGUACCAACAGAAGAAGCGACGGCUAAAUACGUGCCAGCCGCCGCCGUAA
rnacentral:rRNA from 1 species